rnacentral:rRNA from 1 species
UGCAGUCGAACGGCAGCACGAGAGAGCUUGCUCUCUUGGUGGCGAGUGGCGGACGGGUGAGGAAUACAUCGGAAUCUACCUUUUGGUGGGGGAUAACGUAGGGAAACUUACGCUAAUACCGCAUGCGCCCUUCGGGGGAAAGCCGGGGACCUUCGGGCCUGGCGCUGAUAGAUGAGCCGAUGUCGGAUUAGCUAGUUGGUGAGGUAAUGGCUCACCAAGGCGACGAUCCGUAGCUGGUCUGAGAGGAUGAUCAGCCACACUGGAACUGAGACACGGUCCAGACUCCUACGGGAGGCAGCAGUGGGGAAUAUUGGACAAUGGGCGCAAGCCUGAUCCAGCCAUACCGCGUGGGUGAAGAAGGCCUUCGGGUUGUAAAGCCCUUUUGUUGGGAAAGAAAAGCGAUCGGUUAAUACCCGGUUGUUCUGACGGUACCCAAAGAAUAAGCACCGGCUAACUUCGUGCCAGCAGCCGCGGUAAUACGAAGGGUGCAAGCGUUACUCGGAAUUACUGGGCGUAAAGCGUGCGUAGGUGGUGGUUUAAGUCCGUUGUGAAAGCCCUGGGCUCAACCUGGGAAUUGCAGUGGAUACUGGGUCACUAGAGUGUGGUAGAGGAUAGUGGAAUUUCCGGUGUAG